GAUAGGUACGGCCUUUGCGGCGUCCUUUUCCUGUUCCUGGGACCCGGAUGUGUCUGGAGCCGCAGCGUCCACCUUGCAGUGAUGAGAUGACUUUGAGCACAGUGCAGGAGGAAUAUACAGAUCCUCACAAGAAGCAGGAUGCUCGGUGCCUCGAACGUACAGUUUACAGUAGGGUUCUCGCUCCUAUGAGAAUCUGUCAGCCCUCGUCCUGGUCUGGCAUUGACUCGACCAAGCAAAGCAGUGAGCUCACAGGUACAGCGCGGAGUUCCAGUGGGAAUGGUGCAUCAGAAUGGUGAAAAGAGACAUUUUCUAAAUCUCAGAGGUGAUAGACACUACUCUAGCCUAGACCGGCUUUGUAGUAAGACUGUUAUUUUUUGAAGACGGGGCCAGGCAAGUUAAGUUGCUAGUUUUGUAAGAAAUGUAGUUUCUGUGAAACAUUGCAUUCCAUAUUGCAUCCCAUUAUUAUUAUUAUUAUUAUUAUUAUUAUUAUUAAUUACUUUACUGAGUCCCAGUCUCUAUGCCAAGC
rnacentral:lncRNA from 1 species